GCCAGACUGCAGCUGCCACAUGAAGAGAGAGAGGGUCUCCUAUGUUUCCUAGGCCUGUCUUGAACUCCCGGGCUCAAGCGAUUCUCCUGCCUCAGCCUCCCAACAUGCUGGAUCACAGGCAGUGGCCACCUCGCCUGGCCAGUUUUCCCUUUACAAAAACUGGAAUGCUGAGCCGGGCCACAUCAGUCUUGGCUGGACUCACUGCCCACCUCUGGGACCUUGGCGGUGGGGCGGGAAGGAGGACCUCAAAGGCUCAGCGAGUCCACCCCCAGCCCAGCCACCAGCGCCAGCCUCCUCCUCCGCAACACCCAGGCCCUUAUCAGGAAAGGAUUUGGGUUGGUGGGGAGGGGUGGGGGGAAGUUGGAGGCCUCAGGCUCAGCAAGGUGGGUCGGAGAGAUAGGGAAGUGGGGAGGGGGCUGCGGGCCCCUGCUGGGCGGGGGAGGGCAAUGGGAGGGAUGCCCAGAAUGGGCACGGUGGGGGACUUUGGCCAAGCUCUGUCCUCGCUGGCCUGGACCUCAACAUGUUUCCAGGACUUCUGCCUCCCAUCCUUGCCAGGCAAGUUGCCUGCACCUUUAAUUAGCAAGCAGCAGUUUCUCUCCAAUUCAUCACGGUCGCUGUUUAAUUAGCCGAGCCCAGGGCGCCCCCACCCCCAGCUCUGCCUGCCUGUC
rnacentral:lncRNA from 1 species